UUUUACUUUGAAAGUAAAUCUGAAGUUUAGCUGUUAUCGUUUUGGCCGGUACGUUUGGCCAGUCGGCCUCCACGUUCAGCAGAUGCUGAAAUACAAGAAAGGAACCAACAGAUGGCGACCUAGCAUAACUAUUGGUCAUACUAGAACGAUUUGGACCAAUUAACAGACUCUGCUUGGAUGACGAAUCAUUGCAGGGGUAAUGAUGUACCCCUCCCUCAGUAAGCCUCAGAAAUAAAA